rnacentral:rRNA from 1 species
CCUACGGGCGGCAGCAGUGGGGAAUAUUGGACAAUGGGCGAAAGCCUGAUCCAGCCAUGCCGCGUGUGUGAAGAAGGCCUUCGGGUUGUAAAGCACUUUCAGUGGGGAAGAAAGCCUUGGGGCUAAUACCCUCGAGGAAGGACAUCACCCACAGAAGAAGCACCGGCUAACUCCGUGCCAGCAGCCGCGGUAAUACGGAGGGGUGCGAGCGUUAAUCGGAAUUACUGGGCGUAAAGCGCGCGUAGGCGGUCUGAUAAGCCGGUUGUGAAAGCCCCGGGCUCAACCUGGGAACGGCAUCCGGAACUGUCAGGCUAGAGUGCAGGAGAGGAAGGUAGAAUUCCCGGUGUAGCGGUGAAAUGCGUAGAGAUCGGGAGGAAUACCAGUGGCGAAGGCGGCCUUCUGGACUGACACUGACGCUGAGGUGCGAAAGCGUGGGUAGCAAACAGGAUUAGAUACCCGAGUAGU